GCACAAAGAUCCUGGUUCAAGGCUCCCGUUCCCCACCUGCAAGGGGGUCGCUUCAGAAGCAGUGAAGCAAGUCUGCAGGUGUCUUUCUCUAUCUCCUCCAGCCCUCUCAAUUUUUCUCUGUCCUAUCCAAUACAAAAUGGAAAAAUGGCCACCAGGAGCAGUGGAUUCAUAGUGCAGGCACCAAGCCCGCAGCAAUAACCCUGAAGGCUAAAAAAAAAAGAAAAUAGUUAAAAUAAGGACAAGAGUGGCGGGGUUAGUUUAGUGCAUAAAGCAUCGGACCCAUAGCCUCAGGUCUUGAAUUUGAUCCCCAGUAUCAUGUGUGCCAAUGUGAUGUUCUGUUUUUCUCUUCCUCCUCCUUUUUCUCCCAUUGAUUUUUUUUUUCUAGCCAAAACUUAAUCCCCACUCCAAGUCAGCCUAAGCACCUGGCCAGCAAAGAAAUUAAAUGUUUAUGUGUUCAUGGUGUGCCAUGGGAUCAUUUUGUCAGCUUUAUGUCAUGAAAGUGUGAAUUUACCAUUCUUGGUUAACAGAAACAGUGCUUCCCAGCCCCCACCCAGAAACAAAGAGCAAUAUACUCUCAAAAAGGAACCCAAAUUACCUCCCAAGAAAAGGGAAAUGUAUUGUUACUUUUUUGGCAGUGUGACUUCAAGAAGCCUUGCCCAUGUGUGAUUCCACUGCUUCUGUUGCUCUUAAAUUCAUGUAAAGACAGACAAGAGCGACACAGCACCCCUUCAUGUAUGGUGCUCCCAGGGGCUUGCUGGGCCCUGAACCUGAGUCUUCUGGAGUGUGGUAAGGUGCACUGUUUCAGCCUUCUAGCGGAAAAUGGAGGCUUUCCUGCUCCAGUGAUCUAAGGAGACCUGGGUCAGGUGGCUCUGGAGGGGGGAGAUUGCUGCCCUGCACACAGACCAGAUUCCCGCUAGAAACUUUAUUUCAAAGUUAUUUCUUGUCUUCUUAUUUCUUGUCUUCAGGGAGCCCAACUAUGAAAUCAUCCUUUUGCCAUAUAUAUAUUUUUAUUAAUUUAUUCUAAUGAGGGAGACAGAGAGAAAGAAAGAUGAUAGAUAGAUAGAUAGAUAGAUAGAUAGAUAGAUAUACAUAGAUAGGCAGGUAGACCUACUGACUAAGAGCUUUGCUCAGAUGUGUCUCAGAGAUGGUGCUGGGGCUUGAACCUGGGGCCUCAGAGUCUCAGGCAUGAAAGUCUUUUCACAUAACAAUUAUGUUAUCUCCCCAGACCUGCAGGCAUCUGUGUUUUAAAGAUCUUUUUCAAUUUUUUUAUUAAUGAUUUAAUAAUGAUUAUCAAUAUUAUGGGAUAAGAGAGGUACAGUUCCCACCACCAGAGUUCCAUAUCCCCUCCCCUCCAUUGGAAGCUUCGCUAUUCUUUAUCCCUCUGGGAGGCUGGACCAAAGAUAUAUUUUUUUAAGUUUUUUUUUUUUAAAAAUGUUAUUAUCUUUAUUUAUUUAUGGGAUAGAGACAGUCAGAAAUCAAGAGGGAAGGAAGGGGUAGAGUGAGUGAGAGACAGAGAGAUACCUGCAGCAAUGCUUCACCACUUGUGAAGCUUUCCCCCUGCAGGUGGGGACUGGGGGCUCGAAUCUGGGUCCCUGCUCAUUGUAACAUGUGCGCUCAACCAGGUGCACCACCACCUGGCCCCGUGGACCAAAGGUCUUUAUGGUGUGCAGAAGGGGAUAAAGUCUGUUAUCUGUAAUUGCUUCUCCGCUGGACAUGGGAGUUGACAGGUUGAUCCAUACCGCCAGCCUGAUCCUAUCUUUCCUUCAUGGGGUAGAGCUCUGGGGAGGUGGGGUUCCAGGACAUACUGGUGAGGUCAUCUGCUCAGGGAAGUCAGGUUGACGUCAUGGUAGCAUCUGCAACUUGGUGGCUGAAAAGCAUUAAGAUAGAAAGCAGAACGAUUUGUCUAAUUACCAGCAACCUAAAGGUAAGAAUAUAGCAGGUGUUUUUUUUUUCUUUAAUUUAUUUUUAUGAGUUACAGAUGAGAAAGAAGGACUGGAGCCAUGCUCAGUUCUGGCAUAUAAACAUACCAGGGAUUGAACCUGGGGCCUCUGAGACCUUAAGCCUACAUGUGCUGUGAUCUGGACUAUCUCCCGAGCUCCAAAGUCAU